AGAGUUUGAUCCUGGCUCAGGAUGAACGCUAGCGGCAGGCCUAAUACAUGCAAGUCGAGGGGUAAAUAUUGUAGCAAUACGAUAUGAGACCGGCGCACGGGUGCGUAACACGUAUGCAACCUACCUUCUACUGGGGUAUAGCUCCGAGAAAUCGGAAUUAAUCCCCCAUAACACUGCGAUAGGGCAUCCUAAUGCAGUUAAAGCUCCGGCGGUAGAAGAUGGGCAUGCGGUACAUUAGCUAGUUGGUGAGGUAAUGGCUCACCAAGGCUACGAUGUAUAGGGGGUCUGAGAGGAUGAUCCCCCACACUGGUACUGAGACACGGACCAGACUCCUACGGGAGGCAGCAGUAGGGAAUAUUGGUCAAUGGACGCAAGUCUGAACCAGCCAUGCCGCGUGCAGGAGGAAGGCGCUCUGCGUUGUAAACUGCUUUUGUACGGGAAGAAUAUUUCGUUUGCGAACGGAUUUGACGGUACCGUAAGAAUAAGGAUCGGCUAACUACGUGCCAGCAGCCGCGGUAAUACGUAGGAUCCAAGCGUUGUCCGGAUUUAUUGGGUUUAAAGGGUGCGCAGGCGGCCUGAUAAGUCAGUGGUGAAAGCCCGUUGCUUAACAACGGAAUUGCCAUUGAUACUGUCGGGCUUGAGUACAGUUGAGGUUGGCGGAAUGUAUCAUGUAGCGGUGAAAUGCUUAGAUAUGAUACAGAACACCGAUUGCGAAGGCAGCUGACUAAGCUGUUACUGACGCUCAGGCACGAAAGCGUGGGGAUCAAACAGGAUUAGAUACCCUGGUAGUCCACGCUGUAAACGUUGAUAACUCGAUGUUGGCGAUAUAUGGUCAGCGUCCAAGCGAAAGCGUUAAGUUAUCCACCUGGGGAGUACGCCGGCAACGGUGAAACUCAAAGGAAUUGACGGGGGCCCGCACAAGCGGUGGAGCAUGUGGUUUAAUUCGAUGAUACGCGAGGAACCU
rnacentral:rRNA from 1 species